rnacentral:lncRNA from 1 species
AUGGAUCUGAGAACGCUGUCUGGGCUUGGUGCCAAGUGCUGGUAUUUCACAGCAGCGACCGCCUCACAGACGGGCUGUGGGAAGCAGGAGGGAGACUCUCUUAGGGUGCCACUACUAUGGAGACACAGCUGGGCUGAACAAGAUUUGCUUCAAACGACAACAAGAGAGACAGAAAGUAUCUGGUUCAACCGCUGCCCAGGCAGGCAGGCACCAGAAGAGCUAGCAGCCAAUCCGGCCAUGCUCGAAGCCAGCUCUGCAGCUCAGCCAAUCAGUGACAUCACUGAUCUUUUGGAAUAUUACUGGGAUAACUGUCCAAAUGAAGUUCCAAGUACUCUAUACAAAUGGUUACUGAUCAUUAAAAUGGUUUUGUAAAGGAAUGACUCAGAAAUAACAGUAAGUCUUACUUAUUCGAAAGACAUUAUCAUUUUAUUAUUGUGCUAUAACAUAUAUACAGUAUGUGGUGAUUUUUUUUCCCUUCUAAUUUUAUAUGCCAGUGCAGGGAAUAGAAUGUGACCGGAAAGCCUAAACCACAAAGUAUAUUUUUCUGUGAAGCCAAAAUAUUUUUAAUUAAACUCCACUAGUCAAUAAUUUUUGGAUUUGGCAAGUUUCAGUGUAGUCCUGUUUUUGAGAAAAGUCAACAAAAGUAUUUCCCUUCUAAUUCAAUAUCCUUUUUUCCCAAAACAGUUUUUCUUUUUGGUAAAAUACUUACGAACUCAGUAUUUUGACAGUAACAAUAACAUACUCUGUUUCUUUUGCUGUGCUGAAAAUAAUUAUUUUUAUGCUGGACUUAAACCUUUGUCAGCCAGAAGAUCUUAUUUAAUCCAAUGAAAUAGGUCUGAUAAUAACCGUCUUUAAAAAUCGACUUAUAUGACCCUUGUUAGUAAUACACUUACAUUACUAAUAUUUAUAUAUUACCAUUGCUGUUUCUAACUAUAAAUCUCAAUGUUUCAUAUUUAUUAUAAACUAUUUUGAUCAGCUAUAUGUUCUCUUCUGAAACGGACAUAUAUCAUAUGCAAUGGACUGGACGAAAUAUUUUGCCUUUUUUCAUGAUUCCUUAGAAUAAUUUAAAAUAUCUCCUCUGGCAAAAUUAUCAACCAGUACUUUCAUAAAGUGCUAUUUUCAUGCAACAGAUUUACUUCCUCUCGUACAUUAAGAUAUACUUUUUGUUUAUAACAUUUCUUACCUCAAGACAGCUGAUACAAAAAACUGCUUAAUAAAGACAGCCUCAGAAAUAAAACACAGGAAAAUACUGUUAAAUUAAAUACUGUUAAAUUAAAAACAACUGGUGAGGAGUUACUGUUGUAGCUCAGUGGGUUAAGAACCUGACAUAGUCCCCCCAGGAUGCAGUUCAAUCCUUGACCUCGCUCAGUGGGUUAAGGAUCCAGCAUUGCUACAAGCUGCAGCAUAGGUCACAAAUGUGGCUCAGAGCCAGUAUUGUCAUGGCUAUGGCAUAGGCCUGCAGCUGCAGCUCUGAUUCAACCCGUAGCCAGGGAACUUGCAUAAACCACAGGUGCAGCUGUAAAAAGAAAAAAAAAAAAACAGUGAAUUUAAAUA